rnacentral:lncRNA from 10 species
CUCAGCUAAUCUUUUUUUUUUUUUUUUUUCUGAGACGGAGUCUCGCUCUGUCGCCCAGGCUGGAGUGCAGCGGUGUGAUCUCAGCUCACUGCAAGCUCUGCCUCCCGGGUUCACGCCAUUCUCCUGCCUCAGCCUCCCUAGUAGCUGGGACUACAGGCGCCCGCCACCACGCCUGGCUAAUUUUUUGUAUUUUUAGUAGAGACAGGGUUUCACUGUGUUAGCCAGGAUGAUCUCGAUCUCCUGACCUCGUGAUCCGCCCGCCUCAGCCUCCCACAGUGCUGAGAUGAUAGGCGUGAGCCACCGCGCCCGGCCGCCCAGCCAACUCUUUUAAACAGAUGCAUGAAACCUGAAAUUAUCACCCAGGACAAAUCUUGUAAGAGUCUAGUGGAUGAUUCAGAAAGAAGUUGCUACAGGAGUGUCCUGAGAAAGAGGAUCAGAGCAGACUAAGAUGACUGAGGGUGCUGGGGAAGGCAGGGGCUGGGCUGGCCUCAGAGAUGGUGCAGGCUGCUUGAAGGGCAGAAAGGAGGAAGUGCCAAGAGCUUGGGCUUCGGAAAGAAGAGGUGGGGACCCAGGCAUAGAGCUGGGGAUGCAUGUGGUAUUCCAAAAGAGUGAACAGAUUUGCAAACAGAGGUUAAGGCGAGAGAGCAGAGGGCCUGUAUGAUGAUCUUACAAUUGAGACAUCGGCUUUCCAUACAUUCAAUAAAUAUUGUGCACCUACUGUAUGUCAGGCACUGUUCAAAGCCCUUGGGAUACAUAGAGAACAGAACAGCCAUGCGGAUUUUGCAUUCUAGCUGGAGGAGACAGGUAAAUAGCAAUGCACAUACCAAGGAAACAUUCCACUCUGUGAGAAGGUAAAUGCUAUGGGAGCAUUGUUUGGAAGUAGAACAGGGGUAAGGGGAGUUGGGAGAUCUUUGAGCAGGAAAGAGUAAAGCUGAGCUUCAGGAGUCUGAUGAAAGGAUGAUAUUAAAUAUUGCUUGUUUAGAAUUGCUCCCCGCCUGCCCCCAACCCCCAUAUACUAAGGAGGACAGACCCUGAGAGCCAUGAUUUGUUUUGCUGAGCAGGGUGAGGGGAGGUGGGGACACAAACGGAAAAUGCCAAGUUUAGAGCUAAAUUGCUCCACACAGACAUAUGCAGAGGACAUCCACAGGGCAGGGGGCUGGCUGAGGCUGGGCUGGGGGGCAGAUGAUAGGGGUGGCUGCCACAGAUUGGACGUUUGAGAAGAGCUAUCCAGAGGGAUUCUUAGAAUGGUUCUCUCUGGCAUAUGAGAGGGAACCCCUCAUCCACCUAUCCGUGAAACCUUCAUAAAAUCCACACUGGACAUAGGCAGUUUCCAGGUUGAGUGUGUGUGUGCUUAAUGCAAGGAAAAGAAGUGAUGGGUGAGAGGAGGGCAGCCCACCCCCAAGGACGCACGCAGCAAGACUCUCUGGGUCCAAUGUUGUGUCCAUCCUGGGCAGGUGAACAGCAGCGAGGCAGGGCAAGGGUAGAACAGCCGUUUGGGCUGCAGAUGAGCUUCCAGGAUGCAGCCCCCUUGCGGAUGGCAGGGCAUCAGGGGGAACAAAAGAUCAGGAUCCAACCCUGGACUGAAACCAGAAGCUCUGAGGUCUGAUCUGUGCUCUGCCACUCAAUCACUACAACCCGCCUUAGCCCUGGUGCCUCCCAGCAAUGACGUAAGAACAGCUAAGAAACAGGAAUCACAUUCACUAAGCAGCUGUGAGGCUGGGGGAAGGAGGAGCCCCAGGUGAUGGGAGGUGUUGGUGCUGACUGAUUAGAGACAGGGAGGGCUGAGGAGAAAGUCAGCUGCGAGCCUAGAAAGCCCUUGGAGAUUAUGAAUUCUGAUCUUGAUGUUUACAUUGAGAUUACUAUAUUUCCUAUUGCUUCGGUAACAACCACAAAUUUAGUGGCUUAAAGUAACACAUAUUUACUAUUUCACAAUUCUAGAGGUCUGAAAUCUAAAAUGGGUGGGCAGGGCUGUGUUGGAUCCCUCUGGCAGCUGCAGGGGAGAAUUCGUUUCUUCGCCUUCUCCAGCUUCUAGAGGCUGUCCUUGUUCCCCAACACACAGCUGUGCAUCACUGCGACCUCUGCUUCUGUCGUCACAUCUCCUUCCCUGGCUUUGACACUUCCACCUGUCUCUUAUAAGAACCCUUUGGAUUCCACUGGGCCCACUGGGAUGGUCCAGGCUAUGCCAUGGAAAGUAACACAUUCACAGUUUUGGGGAUUGGAACGUGGGCCUAUUUGGAGGGCCGUUAGAAGUGGAAACGGGCCAGGCACGGUGGCGCACGCCUGUAAUCCCAGCACUUUGGGAGGCUGAGGUGGGCGGAUCACCUGGGGCCAGGAGUUCAAGACCAGCCUGACCAACAGGAGGAAACCCCAUCUCUACUAAAAAUAUAAAAAAUAUAAAAAAUAUAAAAAACACGGUGGCUUACGCCUGUAAUCCCAGCCUCCUGAGUAGCUGGGACUACAGGCGCCCGCCGCCACGCCCGGCUAAUUUUUUUGUAUUUUUAGUAGAGACGAGGUUUCACCGUGUUAGCCAGGAUGGUCUUGAUCUCCUGACCUCAUGAUCCUCCCGCGUCGGCCUCCUAAAGUGCUUGGAUCACAGGUGUGAGUCACAGCGCCCAACAAGAAGUGCAUAGCUUUUUUUGUUUUUUCUUUUUGAGACGGAGUCUCACUCUGUCGCCAGGCUAGAGUGCUGUGGCGCGAUCUCGGCUCACUGCAACCUCCAACUCCCUGGUUCAAGGGAUUCUCCUGCCUCUGCCUCCCGAGUAGCUGGGAUUAUAGGUAUGCGCCACCAUGCCUGGCUAAUUUUUGUAUUUUUAGUAGAGAUGCGGUUUCACUAUGUUGGCCAGGAUGGUCUCGAUCUCCUCACCUCGUGAUCCGCCCACCUUGGCCUCCCAAAGUGCUGGGAUUACAGGCGUGAGCCACUGCGCCCGGCCGAGAAGUGCAUAGCUUUUUAAAAAAUCUUUGUAGCUAUCUUAUUUAGGAAUGGGAGGCAGGUUUGCCUGUGGCAGUUCCCAGCUUGAUUUUUUCCUUUGGCUUAUUGAUUUUGGGGUCCUAAGAUUUAUUUUCCUUUCACAAUACUCUUGUACAGGUGAGGAGACUGAGGCCCAGAGAGGAGGCUGCCUGCCUAACAUAGACCAAAGGGUCAGAACCAAGAGUAGAACUCAGACCCCCUCACUUCAGGCCCAAUGCUCUCAUCACAUAAAAAGGAUGCCUUGAUUAUACGAAUGUGGCACUGAACUAUAUAGGCUGACCCCAAUUCUUUCUUCAGUGUAAACAAUAAUAGGAAUAGGAGCAACAGGCAGCGUUUCUGCAGCGCUUCUGUGGCAGGCAGGUUCUAAGGCCUCCCUGUGGAUUUCCUCUGUCAACACUCACGUUUACCCUAAUAAGUAAUUUCUAUUAUAAACUUAAAUAUUUACUGAACUCCUCCCACCAGUACUUGUUAACUUGGGAGAAGGGGGAGAUGCAAUAAAAUCUUUCUUUUCCUAAGACCUGUCUCCCAAGAUAGAUGGACGCAGGCCCAAAAGGGCACAAUGGAACACUGACUGUUUUCCGGCCUCCUUCCCACCCUCCAGGGUGCUUCACACUCCUCCCCUGUGCUGGAAUCAUCCUGGACACUGGUUAGGAUGUGUAAAGUCAAGCAUCACCAAAAUUCCUCUGCUUGUCCUCUUGGCAUUAGGCUCAGUUUAGGCCCUGCCUCUCCUUCCUUGUCCUCCUUCCUCCCCAUGUACCACUAUCGGUUGUUUCCCCAGUGCAGCCAGCUGCCCGCUUCUGUGUCUUUGCAUAUCCAGUUCCCUCUUGGAAUUCCCUCCUCCGCAUUGACUACUGACUCCACCUUCCCAAGUCAAGUCAGCUGCUGCAAUGUCCCCUGCUCUGGGGAGCCUCUCGGACUCAGAUUGACGUGGGGAUGUGCCCUGUGCCCCUACUUGUUACUAGCUUCUGCUGCUCUGCCUCUGAUCUCUCCCUCCCCU